rnacentral:lncRNA from 1 species
UAAUUAAAGUCCUUAGUUAAUUGCGUUAAAGUUAAUUAAAAUGAAGAUAGACCCAGGUGGGCCUGACUUAAUCAUCUUUUAAGCUCUUUAAAAGAUGAUCUAGAGGUAAAAAGUUUUCUUUUCUUUUGGCCCUAAAGGAGCAAACUACCAUGAGUUCUAUAGAAGGAAGGAAAUUUAUUUGGCUAACAACCAUAUGAGCUUGGAAGAAGUCUCUGAGCCUCAUAUGAGAACAUAGCCCUUACCAACACCUCGACUGCAGUGUUGUAAUACCCUGAGCAGAAAACCCAGUUCCAUGCCUAUACUCAACCCAUGGAAAUUGUGAGAUAAUACAUGGGUUUUGUUUUAAGAUGAAACAUUUGUGAUAAUUUAUAAUGAAGCAAUAGAAAAUUAAUAUAGAAAAGUAGUAAUCCGGAGUUCCUGUUGUGGCUCAGUGGUUAACGAACCCAGCUAGGAACCGUGAGGUUUCGAGUUUGAUCCCUGGCCUCACUCAGAGGGGUUAAGGAUCUGGCGUUGCUGUGAACUGUGGUGUAAGUUGAAGAAGUGGCUUGGAUCCCUCCUUGCUGUGGCUGUGGCAUAGGCCAGCAGCUACAGCUCUGAUAAGACCCCUGGCCUGGGAACCUCCAUAUGUUGUGGAUGUGGCCCUAGAAUACGACCAAAAAAAAAAAAGUAAUCCUAUUUGGAUUUUGUGUUUAAAAGGGUAAAAGACCAUACUGUACUUGCAAUGCAUAGGUUCGUAAAAACUUAAUCUACUCUACCUUACUAUGUAUAAUAUCAAUCCUGAGUUUUAUUCAGCUCAGGAAAUAAAGCUCUAGAACCUAUUGGGAUUAUACUUGUCCAUUCCUGAGCUUCACCUUGUAAAAUAUGCAGGGCUAUAGUGGGAAAUCCAACCCAACAUUUCUCUUGCCUACUACUUUUUCUACCCAGGAGAGAAUAAGUUAGAAAAAAAAGAUCUCAUGUUAAAAAAAAAAAUGGAAUAACACUAAACUUAUCAGUUGGUGUGUGGUGAGGUCAACUUUUUUUUAUAGUAAUAUUUUAGUUACUUUUCAUUAUUAUGUUGUAAAAUAUAAUGAUGCGCACAAAAUAUGAUAGUAUAAUGUCUUAAAUUUUGUAACACUUUGUAAAACUUUUAAAAGUUUAUUUCCUAUGACCCUCACAAUAUAUGUCACUUCAAACAUGAAUUUAUAAUUAAAUACAGCCUAGCAGGCAAGUAAUUUGUCUAUUUACAUAUUUAUUUUUAAAAAUAUUAUUUUGAGUAAUUAUUGGUACAUAGUAAGUUAAAUCUCUCACCCCUGUCCUUCAUUAAUCUUGUUUUUCUCUCAAGAAUCAACCCUUAUUUGUUUCUUAUGCAUCUUUCUAGAGAUAUUCUGUACAGUUACAAAUAAGUAUUCAAACAUGUGUUAAUUUUAGUACUUUAUAUUUUGCUAAAAAAAUGACAUAUUUCAUUGGAAUUUAACAUUCUACCAGAGUAGAGGUUUAAAGGGCAUUCUUCCACAAAGUUUUGCCUAUAGUUCUUGGCUUAUUUGCAAAUUUGUAUAUUUGUGUUUUAUCCUUCAAUAAACUUGAACACUGUUUUCUGCUUUAAAAAAAAAAAAAAAAAAAAAAA